rnacentral:snRNA from 1 species
GUAUGAGUGGGAUAUGUGAGUGGCAUCUGUCACCCCAACUGAUUGCUCAGAUUGAUUCAGCUGAUCUGGCUGAAUAAUCAAGUGCCUUCUUUCCCCUCCCUACUGAUGCUUAUUUGCCCCUCUUGAAAAUUUCCAUUCAACCAAAGAGGAUAAUGGUGGAGAAGGACCAAGUUGCAUGACUGGUUCCCCAGCUUAGGUAUGACUGGAGAUUUGCCAGGGUAAAUAAAAUUCAAGCUCUGCAAAGGUGCAUAGGGGUACUCUAGUCUCUUCAUAUCAGGGAAUACCCUAUCCCUGAUUCU